rnacentral:rRNA from 1 species
GACGAACGCUGGCGGCGUGCCUAAUACAUGCAAGUAGGACGCAGUUGCGAACGGGAGAGUAACGCGUAGGUAACUGCCUAUGAGUGGGGGAUAACUAUUGGAAACGAUAGCUAAUACCGCAUACUAGUAGAUGGACCUGCGUUGUAUUAGCUAGUAGGUAGGGGAAUGGCCUACCUAGGCAACGAUUCAUAGCCGUGCGGUGGGGGUGGUCGGCCACACUGGGACGGAGACACGGGCCCGGCUCCCACGGGAGGCAGCAGUAGGGAAACUUCGGCCAUGGGGGGAAACCUGGACGAGCAACGCCGCGUGAGUUGAGAAGGGUUUCGGGUCGUAAAGCUCUGUUGUUAAGGAAGCGGUACUUAACCAGAAAGGGACGGCUAACUACGUGCCAGCAGCCGCGGUAAUUC